AUGACACAGGGGUCAAAGGAGUCAAAUCUGGUGAUAGAUGAGCUUGCGUAUCAUUAGCUAGUUGUAGGGUAACGGCCUACCAAGGCGACGAUGAUUAGCCGACCUGAGAGGGUGAUCGGCCACACUGGAACUGAGAUACGGUCCAGACUCCUACGGGAGGCAGCAGUUAGGAAUAUUGGGCAAUGGAGGGAACUCUGACCCAGCAACGCCGCGUGAAGGAAGAAGGUUUUCGGACUGUUAAACCUCUGUCCUCUGUGAAGAUAAGUGACGGUAGCAGAGGAGGAAGCUCCGGCUAACUACGUGCC
rnacentral:rRNA from 1 species